UGACUAUAAAUAAUUAAAUAUGAAUAAAGCAUAAAUAUUGAUAAUAAUUUAUAUUAUAAUUAACAGUAAUAAUUAAGUAUUGUAAUUGUUAUGCAAUGAUGUUGUUGGCGCCAUUUAUUAUUAGACUGGAUAAUAAAAAUGUUAGUUAAUAUUACUUAUAAGUAAUUCCUGUAAAAUAAAUUAAAUGUCAGUCAUGUAAAAAUCACUAAAAUAUGUAUUGUGAAUAUUAAGCUAUAUUUUGUGAAUUGUUUCGCAGUAAUUACAUUUGUUUGUAUAAAAGAAGUUGUAGUUGCUAUAACCAUCAAUCACAAAAUGGCUAAUUGUGUAAAAACCACUGAAUAACUCAGGCGUGGCUUUUUGUUGUAAACAAGUUAAAGUUUUAUAGAAUUGUAUUGUACUUUCAUUGUAAAAGAACUUAUGUGUGAAAACCCUGGCUUAACGCCGACAUGUACCUUAUAUCCUUUGCUGAGCUUUUUAACCCUAAAAGAAAACUUUGAUAAAGGCGGUAUGAUUAGAUUUGUGGUAGUAGUACUAUUUUGCCAACUGGAAAUGCUAAGGUUUCACACUGUACAGCCCAACCUUUUAUAGUUUCUGUCAUAUGAAAAAUGAAAUAGAGCAAAAAUUGAUAUUGGAUGAAAUGAGGUUAAGUUGAUUGAAGUUGAGUUUAUUUGGGACUUUAAUCAAUUGAAAUUAUAUUAAAUAAAACGAGUUUAGAUAGGCGGAAAUUAAGUCUUAGAAAAUGAUGGUUAUUUAUUGAGACCUCAGUGGAACUUUUAUGCUGAAUAGUUAAUAAACCACCAUUAUUAUAUAGAAGUUUGGACCCGAAGAAACUCUAAACUAACAAAAUUUACAUAACUUCACUCUUCUUGUUCCCGCCAAAAAGUCGAUUUGAUUUAUCAUAAACGUGACAACGUUUUUAAUUUAACUUCUUUAAAAAUGUAUAAUGAAGUACCGUUUUGCUUCAAACCAUUUUGCCACGAAUAAUAAAUAGAAAUUUUAAAUUCAGUUUUUUUUUACAUUAUUCCGUUACUUCUUUUAGCUUGUAUUGUAGUGCUUAGAUUUCUUGAACGUUGUGAUAUUUUUAGACUUGAUAUUAUUUUAGAAAGGUAUAUUAUUUUUUUCCAUUUCAAUCCAUGUAAUUUGCAUCCAUAUUUUUCAAGAGCACAUAAGUGUAUUUUAUUUUUUAUUAGAAUAAUCGUGACGGCUCAAAACAUAUGUAAGUUGACAUAAAUGAACUUGGAUUUAAAAUUAUUCACGUCUAAGUUCUCAAAGCAGACCUGAAUCAUGUAAUUAUCGUGGCCUUUGUGCACGUGGUAACUAUAGGUAAGUAAGUAUGCUUUACGCAACUCACAAUCGAAACACGAUGAUUCAUAUUCAUCACGUUUGGUCAUUGUGUUUGUUUUGUACAACGUUUUCCACUAAGUUUUCAAUUAUCGAAUAUCACAAGAGUCAUAGCUGCGUACAGCUUAUUCGGUUUCAACUGCGUUAUUUGCGUAAUGAAAUUGUCUAAUCUGCGGUUUGAUGCACUAUACGACUUUAAUAAGACGGUGAAAGUUUGAUUAUUCAGCAACAUCUUUAUCUGUGUCAGCUUGAGACGUUUACAAAUCUUUGAACUAUUUGUCGUAAGGUAGUUUUUUAGAAAGUAGCUGUAGAAUUGUUGAACUGAAUGAUAAAUACAGAUGAAAAUUUGAUGAAGAUUGGAUUGAGCAAUGUAAUAUCUUUUUUUAGUUGUUUAGUUUUAGUUCCAAUUUUAGUGUUAUAUAGUUGACGAUUAAAUUAGAAUUAUGUUUUGAAGUCAGCUUAGGCAAUGAGCUGCUGCAACGACAUAGCUGACUGAAGUUUUAUUUAAAAAUUUGUGACUUAAUUCGUUUUAAUGCAGACAGGAUUUAAAAUAAAAAUAAAAUAUUGUAACAGAAACAUAUUUAUAAUUAAAGAUACUUGAGGAGUUAGGUUUGACGAAAUGUAAGUAUGAACAUGCAUAGAAAUUUUAAUUUGAGGUUGUUAAACAUGAAUUUUAUAUUUAUAUGUGUUGUAUGAUUAUAUAUUUUUCACCCCUGUCUCUAGGUACAUCCCUGUGCUACUUGCUACAUAUUAAUUAGUGGAUGCCGUGGAAAACCGGAUCACACAGACCCUACAUCGGACUAGUUAAAUUUAAUUAAUGUCAAUGUUUAUUUUAUUAAUAUAAUGUAUAAAAAGAAUAAAUAAUUUAACAGA